rnacentral:lncRNA from 1 species
UGUAUAUGUAGACAAGCUCUAACCCUCGUGGCUGGUGUGUAUAUGUGAGACAAGCUCUAAUCCUCAUGGCUAAUGUGUAUAUGUGAGACAAGCUCUAAUCCUCAUGGCUGGUGUGUAUAUGUAGACAAGCUCUAAUACUCAUGGCUGGUGUGUAUAUGUGAGACAAGCUCUAAUCCUCAUGGCUAAUGUGUAUAUGUGAGACAAGCUCUAACCCUCAUGGCUGGUGUGUAUAUGUGAGACAAGCUCUAAUCCUCAUGUCUGGUGUGUAUAUGUGAGACAAUCUCUAAUCCUCAUGGCUGAUGUGUAUAUGUGAGACAAGCUCUAAUCCUCAUGGCUGGUGUGUAUAUGUAGACAGGCUCUAAUCCUCAUGGCUGGUGUGUAUAUGUAGACAAGCUCUAACCCUCAUAGCUGGUGUGUAUAUGUGAGACAAGCUCUAAUCCUCACGGCUGGUGUGUAUAUGUAGACAAGCUCUAACCCUCAUGGCUGGUGUGUAUAUGUGAGACAAGCUCUAAUCCUCACGGCUGGUGUGUAUAUGUAGACAAGCUCUACUCCUCGUGGCUGGUGUGUAUAUGUAGACAAGUUCUAAUCCUCAUGGCUGGUGUAUAUGUGAGACAAGCUCUAAUCCUCGUGGCUGGUGUGUAUAUGUGAGACAAGCUCUAACCCUCAUGGCUGGUGUGUAUAUGUGAGACAAGCUCUAAUCAUCGUGGCUGGUGUGUAUAUGUAGACAAGCUCUAAUCCUCAUGGCUGGUGUGUAUAUGUAGACAAGCUCUAACCCUCAUGGCUGGUGUGUAUAUGUGAGACAAGCUCUAAUCCUCAUGGCUGGUGUGUAUAUGUAGACAAGCUCUAAUCCUCAUGGCUGGUGUGUAUAUGUGAGACAAGCUCUAAACCUCAUGGCUGGUGUGUAUAUGAAGACAAGCUCUAAUCCUCGUGGCUGGUGUAUAUGUGAGACAAGCUCUAAUCCUCGUGGCUGGUGUAUAUGUGAGACAAGCUCUAAUCCUCGUGGCUGGGGUGUAUAUGUGAGACAAGCUCUAAUCCUCGUGGCUGGGGUGUAUAUGUGAGACAAGCUCUAAUCCUCGUG